CCUACGGGAGGCUGCAGUGAGGAAUAUUGGUCAAUGGACGAGAGUCUGAACCAGCCACGUAGCGUGAAGGAUGACUGCCCUCUGGGUUGUAAACUUCUUUUAUAUGGGAAUAAAAUGCUCCACGUGUGGGAUUUUGUAUGUACCAUAUGAAUAAGGAUCGGCUAACUCCGUGCCAGCAGCCGCGGUAAUACGGAGGAUCCGAGCGUUAUCCGGAUUUAUUGGGUUUAAGGGGAGCGUAGGUGGAUUGUUAAGUCAGUUGUGAAAGUUUGCGGCUCAACCGUAAAAUUGCAGUUGAAACUGGCAGGCUGGAGUACAGUAGAGGUGGGCGGAAUUCGUGGUGUAGCGGUGAAAUGCUUAGAUAUCACGAAGAACUCCGAUUGCGAAGGCAGCUCACUGGACUGCAACUGACACUGAGGCUCGAAAGUGUGGGUAUCAAACAGGAUUAGAUACCCGAGUAGUC
rnacentral:rRNA from 1 species